UAAUACAGAGGGUGCGAGCGUUAAUCGGAAUUACUGGGCGUAAAGCGCGCGUAGACGGUUUUGUAAGUCAGAUGUGAAAUCCCCGGGCUCAACCUGGGAACUGCAUUUGAUACUGCUUGGCUAGAGUACGGUAGAGGGAAGCGGAAUUUCCGGUGUAGCGGUGAAAUGCGUAGAUAUCGGAAGGAACACCAGUGGCGAAAGCGGCUUCCUGGACCAGUACUGACGUUCAUGUGCGAAAGCGUGGGGAGCAAACAGG
rnacentral:rRNA from 1 species